GACGAACCGUGCGAACGUUGUUCGGAAUCACUGGGCUUAAAGGGCGCGUAGGCGGGCUGCUAAGUCAGGGGUGAAAGCCACGGCUCAACCGUGGAAGUGCCUUUGAUACUGGCGGUCUGGAGGGAGGUAGGGCGUGCGGAACUUCCGGUGGAGCGGUGAAAUGCGUAGAUAUCGGAAGGAACACCGGUGGCGAAAGCGGCGCGCUGGACCUCUUCUGACGCUGAGGCGCGAAAGCCAGGGGAGCAAACGGG
rnacentral:rRNA from 1 species